GAUGAAGAACGCAGCGAAAUGCGAUAAGUAAUGUGAAUUGCAGAAUUCAGUGAAUCAUCGAAUCUUUGAACGCACAUUGCGCCCCCUGGUAUUCCGGGGGGCAUGCCUGUCCGAGCGUCAUUACAACCCUCAAGCUCAGCUUGGUGUUGGGCCCCGUCGCCCCGGCGGGCCCUAAAGUCAGUGGCGGUGCCGUCCGGCUCCGAGCGUAGUAAUUCUUCUCGCUCUGGAGGUCCGGUCGUGUGCUCGCCAGCAACCCCCAACUUUUACAGUUUGACCUGGGAUGAGGUAGGGAUACCCGCUGAACUUAAGCAUAUCAAUAAGCGGAGGA
rnacentral:misc_RNA from 1 species